GAUGAAGAACGUAGCGAAAUGCGAUAAGUAAUGUGAGUUGCAGAAUUCAGUGAAUCAUCGAAUCUUUGAACGCACCUUGCGCCUUUUGGUAUUCCGAAAGGCACACCUGUUUGAGCGUCAUGAAUACCUCAAUCUCCAUCUUUUCUUCGGAUUGAUGGGUGACUUGGAUGUUGAGCCCUGCUGGUAUGCUAUAUCAGCUGGCUUUAAACUUAUUAGCCGGCUCUGUACUGGAUCGGUUUGACUCGACGUGAUAAUAUUAUCGUUGAGGAUGCAUGUCUCAUGCAGCCGGAAAGUAUCAAAGCAGCUUCUAGCUUGCCUUUAGUGCACUUUUACAUUUUAGACCUCAGAUCAGGUGGGACUACCCGCUGAACUUAAGCAUAUCAAUAAGCGGAGGA
rnacentral:misc_RNA from 1 species